rnacentral:rRNA from 1 species
GAUGAACGCUGGCGGCGUGCUUAACACAUGCAAGUCGAACGAAGCACUCUAUUUGAUUUUCUUCGGAAAUGAAGAUUUUGUGACUGAGUGGCGGACGGGUGAGUAACGCGUGGGUAACCUGCCUCAUACAGGGGGAUAACAGUUGGAAACGACUGCUAAUACCGCAUAAGCGCACAGUAUUGCAUGAUACAGUGGGAAAAACUCCGGUGGUAUGAGAUGGACCCGCGUCUGAUUAGCUAGUUGGUGGGGCAACGGCCUACCAAGGCGACGAUCAGUAGCCGACCUGAGAGGGUGACCGGCCACAUCGGGACUGAGACACGGCCCAAACUCCUACGGGAGGCAGCAGUGGGGAAUAUUGCACAAUGGGGGAAACCCUGAUGCAGCGACGCCGCGUGAACGAAGAAGUAUUUCGGUAUGUAAAGUUCUAUCAGCAGGGAAGAUAAUGACGGUACCUGACUAAGAAGCACCGGCUAAAUACGUGCCAGCCGCCGCGGUAA